GACGAACGCUGGCGGCGUGCUUAACACAUGCAAGUCGAACGAUGAAGAAAAGAAUUGAAGCUUCGGCAGAAAUUCAUUUCGGAUUAGUGGCAGACGGGUGAGUAACGCGUGAGCAACCUACCUCUUACAAAGGGAUAGCCUCGGGAAACCGGGAUUAAUACCAUAUAACAUUGCGACGAAGCAUUUCGAUGCAAUCAAAGCUACGGCGGUAAGAGAUGGGCUCGCGUCCCAUUAACCAGAUGGUGGGGUAACGGCUCACCAUAGUAACGAUGGGUAACCGGCCUGAGAGGGUGAACGGUCACACUGGAACUGAGACACGGUCCAGACUCCUACGGGAGGCAGCAGUGGGGAAUAUUGCACAAUGGAGGGAACUCUGAUGCAGCGACGCCGCGUGAGUGAUGAAGGAAUUCGUUUCGUAAAACUCUGUUCUAUGGGAAGAAAAGGACUGUACCAUAGGAGAAAGCUCCGGCUAAAUACGUG
rnacentral:rRNA from 1 species